UACGAAGGGGGCGAGCGUUGUUCGGAAUUACUGGGCGUAAAGGGCGCGCAGGCGGCCUUAGAAGUCAGAUGUGAAAGCCCCGGGCUCAACCUGGGAAUGGCAUUUGAUACUCGAGGGCUUGAGUACGGGAGAGGAGAGUGGAAUUCCCAGUGUAGAGGUGAAAUUCGUAGAUAUUGGGAAGAACACCGGUGGCGAAGGCGGCUCUCUGGACCGUAACUGACGCUGAGGCGCGAAAGCGUGGGGAGCAAACAGG
rnacentral:rRNA from 1 species